rnacentral:rRNA from 1 species
AGUGAUCGCUGGCGGCGUGCUUAACACAUGCAAAUCGAGCGAGAUCUGGCAGUGUAUCGUCAGGUCUAGCGGCAGACGGGUGAGUAAUACUUGGGCAAUCUGCCCUUGAGUGGGAAACAACCUUCCGAAAGGAGGGCUAAUGUCCCAUAAGACCACGGGAUGGCAUCAUCCAGAGGUCAAAGCUCCGUAAGGGGCGCUUGAGGAGGAGCCUGAGCCUAUCAUGGUAGUUGGUGAGGUAAUGGCUCACCAAGCCUUUGACGGGUAGCCGGCCUGAAAGGGUAGAUCGGCCACACUGGCACUGAGACACGGGCC